GGAGAGGUGUCCGAGCGGUUUAAGGAGCACGCUUGGAAAGCGUGUGUAGGGGCAACUCUACCGCGGGUUCGAAUCCCGCCCUCUCCGCCA
rnacentral:tRNA from 1 species